rnacentral:rRNA from 1 species
AUUGAACGCUGGCGGCAGGCCUAACACAUGCAAGUCGAGCGGAUGAAGGGAGCUUGCUCCUGGAUUCAGCGGCGGACGGGUGAGUAAUGCCUAGGAAUCUGCCUGGUAGUGGGGGAUAACGUCCGGAAACGGGCGCUAAUACCGCAUACGUCCUGAGGGAGAAAGUGGGGGAUCUUCUGACCUCACGCUAUCAGAUGAGCCUAGGUCGGAUUAGCUAGUUGGUGGGGUAAAGGCCUACCAAGGCGACGAUCCGUAACUGGUCUGAGAGGAUGAUCAGUCACACUGGAACUGAGACACGGUCCAGACUCCUACGGGAGGCAGCAGUGGGGAAUAUUGGACAAUGGGCGAAAGCCUGAUCCAGCCAUGCCGCGUGUGUGAAGAAGGUCUUCGGAUUGUAAAGCACUUUAAGUUGGGAGGAAGGGCAGUAAGUUAAUACCUUGCUGUUUUGACGUUACCAACAGAAUAAGCACCGGCUAACUUCGU